CUCUAAAACAUUAAACUAUCAUUUUUUUCUUUUUUGGAAGGUGAUGGUUUGCAUAUGAGUCAAGGUGAUUUAUCACUAUUAUAUUACUGGGUUACUAAUUUCAAAGUUGAAAUGAUUGAUCAGCUUCAGGGCUCAGAACGACCGCUGUAAGCGAGUUUACAUCGCAAAUUAGGCCACGUGGAAGAUAGUGGAUGUCUAAGUUGGACUCGGAGGAGCAAAAUGGUAGUCAAUUUGCACUAGAUUUACUUUGCCGAUAAGGACAGUUUGAACCUGCAGUAAAAAGGAUCCCAAAGCGACAGUUUUAUACCAAAAUGGAUGUGAUAAGAUACCCCUAUUUAAAAAAAUUAAUGAUAACUGAACUAAUAUUGAACUAAGCCAUUUAUCGGAAAUACGUUUAAUAAACACAGUCAUUUAUGAA